GAUGAACGCUGGCGGCGUGCCUAAUACAUGCAAGUCGAGCGAAUGGAUUAAGAGCUUGCUCUUAUGAAGCUAGCGGCGGACGGGUGAGUAACACGUGGGUAACCUGCCCAUAAGACUGGGAUAACUCCGGGAAACCGGGGCUAAUACCGGAUAACAUUUUGAACCGCAUGGUUCGAAAUUGAAAGGCGGCUUCGGCUGUCACUUAUGGAUGGACCCGCGUCGCAUUAGCUAGUUGGUGAGGUAACGGCUCACCAAGGCAACGAUGCGUAGCCGACCUGAGAGGGUGAUCGGCCACACUGGGACUGAGACACGGCCCAGACGCCUACGGGAGGGAGCAGUAGGGAAUCUUCCGCAAUGGACGAAAGUCUGACGGAGCAACGCCGCGUGAGUGAUGAAGGCUUUCGGGUCGUAAAACUCUGUUGUUAGGGAAGAACAAGUGCUAGUUGAAUAAGCUGGCACCUUGACGGUACCUAACCAGAAAGCCACGGCUAACUACGUGCCAGCAGCCGCCGUAA
rnacentral:rRNA from 1 species